rnacentral:lncRNA from 1 species
AUGCCUUAUUGGAGGAACUGGAAUGCUGCACCCUUCAGGACAGUGAGGACUAUUCAAAUCCAGUUUCUUGUUGCCUGGAUCAGCAACCCACACAGGAGAGCAAGCUUCCCCAAACACCAAAGACCUUGUCAACGCAGGGUAACACAAGUCCCUUGAAGGUGCAGCUCGUGUAUACAACCAAUAUCCAGGAACCCAAUGUCUACAGUGAGGUCCAAGAGCCAAAACAAUCAGUCUUACCUCCUAAGACCUCAGCAGCUGCUCAGUUGGAUGAGCUCAUGGCCCACCUGAACGAACUUCAGGCCAAGGUUUCAGUGAAAGCAGAUGCUAGCAGGAAACCCUUGCCAGACAAGCUAAUAGAGUAAAAACAAGGAACAAGUAAAGGCAUUUGUAGAUGUUUCUAGGCUUAUAAUCUUAAUUUUGAAGAUGCUUCUCAUUACUUUUUAAUUAUGUAUUUGCAUUUAGAUUCAGAUCAUGCUGUCAAGACCCCCAAAAGGUAUAUUUCUUAUGUGCACAGUUCUUUUCACUGCUGAUUUUCUCUUUCUCACUUUUUACUUCUACUGAUGCCCCAUUCAGACCUUAUGGGUCACAAAGUUUUACUCUCUCUUUGCUAUCAGGGGUCAGGACAUUACUCUUAAACCCUCAAUGUCUCUGCAUUUUGCUUUUUAUGUGGAAGUGUAUUUUAACUGACACGUGUGAUGAAUAAAGCAGCUUGUGGUUUUGGUGA